UUGCCUAUACUGCAAGUCGAACGCUUUUUCUUUCGGAGCUUGCUCCCGAAAGAAAAAGAGUGGCGAACGGGUGAGUAACACGUGGGUAACCUGCCCAUCAGAAGGGGAUAACACUUGGAAACAGGUGCUAAUACCGUAUAACACUAUUUUCCGCAUGGAAGAAAGYUGAAAGGCGCUUUUGCGUCACUGAUGGAUGGACCCGCGGUGCAUUAGCUAGUUGGUGAGGUAACGGCUCACCAAGGCAACGAUGCAUAGCCGACCUGAGAGGGUGAUCGGCCACACUGGGACUGAGACACGGCCCAGACUCCUACGGGAGGCAGCAGUAGGGAAUCUUCGGCAAUGGACGAAAGUCUGACCGAGCAACGCCGCGUGAGUGAAGAAGGUUUUCGGAUCGUAAAACUCUGUUGUUAGAGAAGAACAAGGAUGAGAGUAAAAUGUUCAUCCCUUGACGGUAUCUAACCAGAAAGCCACGGCUAACUACGUGCCAGCAGCCGCGGUAAUACGUAGGUGGCAAGCGUUGUCCGGAUUUAUUGGGCGUAAAGCGAGCGCAGGCGGUUUCUUAAGUCUGAUGUGAAAGCCCCCGGCUCAACCGGGGAGGGUCAUUGGAAACUGGGAGACUUGAGUGCAGAAGAGGAGAGUGGAAUUCCAUGUGUAGCGGUGAAAUGCGUAGAUAUAUGGAGGAACACCAGUGGCGAAGGCGGCUCUCUGGUCUGUAACUGACGCUGAGCUCGAAAGCGUGGGGAGCGAACAGGAUUAGAUACCCUGGUAGUCCACGCCGUAAAACGAUGAGUGCUAAGUGUUGGAGGGUUUCCGCCCUUCAGUGCUGCAGCAAACGCAUUAAGCACUCCGCCUGGGGAGUACACCGCAAGGUUGAAACUCAAGGAAUUGACGGGGGCCCGCACAAGCGGUGGAGCAUGUGGUUAAUUCGAAGCAACGCGAAGAACCUUAGUCUUGACAUCCUUUGACCACUCUAGAUAGAGCUUCCCCUUGGGAGACAGGGGUGCAUGGUGUCGUCAGCUCGUGUCUGAUGUGGGUUAAGUCCCACGCGCCCCAAGUUGCCAUUUUGGCUCUCUCCGGGGGUGCUAAUCAUGCCCCCUACUGCACAGGAUACAAUUCUA
rnacentral:rRNA from 1 species